rnacentral:rRNA from 1 species
UACGGAGGGUGCAAGCGUUGUCCGGAAUCACUGGGCGUAAAGGGCGCGUAGGCGGCCAUUCAAGUCGGGGGUGAAAGCCCAGGGCUCAACCCUGGAAUUGCCUUCGAUACUGUAGAGCUUGAGACCGGAAGAGGUAAGUGGAACUGCGAGUGUAGAGGUGAAAUUCGUAGAUAUUCGCAAGAACACCAGUGGCGAAGGCGGCUUACUGGUCCGGUUCUGACGCUGAGGCGCGAAAGCGUGGGGAGCAAACAGG